rnacentral:rRNA from 1 species
UACGUAGGGUGCAAGCGUUGUCCGGAAUUAUUGGGCGUAAAGAGCUCGUAGGCGGUUUGUCGCGUCUGCUGUGAAAACCCGAGGCUCAACCUCGGGCCUGCAGUGGGUACGGGCAGACUAGAGUGCGGUAGGGGAGAUUGGAAUUCCUGGUGUAGCGGUGGAAUGCGCAGAUAUCAGGAGGAACACCAAUGGCGAAGGCAGAUCUCUGGGCCGUAGCUGACGCUGAGGAGCGAAAGCAUGGGGAGCGAACAGG